rnacentral:rRNA from 1 species
AGUGAACGCUGGCGGUAGGCCUAACACAUGCAAGUCGAACGGCAGCACAGAGGAGCUUGCUCCUUGGGUGGCGAGUGGCGGACGGGUGAGGAAUACAUCGGAAUCUACUCUGUCGUGGGGGAUAACGUAGGGAAACUUACGCUAAUACCGCAUACGACCUACGGGUGAAAGCAGGGGACCUUCGGGCCUUGCGCGAUUGAAUGAGCCGAUGUCGGAUUAGCUAGUUGGCGGGGUAAAGGCCCACCAAGGCGACGAUCCGUA